CAAAAAUGAUUUACAAAAAUAUUUGUAAAUUUAGUUAUUGAAUUUAUAUGCAUUGCAUAUUUAUUUAAUUUACCUUUCAAGUAUUUUCACGAGAUAUUUAUUUAACGAACACUGAACGAACAUUACAGUUUUCAUAGUACAACCCGGAAGAUUUUUAUUGUAUUUUAUUUUAUUCUCCCAUCAGCCACUUUAACACCUUUCCAACCACCCAUCCACUCUUUCCCUUUCCAACCACCCAUCCACUCUUUCCACCUAAAGAAUUUCCUUUCCAACCACACACGAUACAUUGUCUCCCCAAAAUCACAACUUUAGCCAUAUUUUUUUUUUAAGCAAUCAGCCAUACUUUUGUUAAAUCAAUCACAUGCAAAUCAAUAUUUUACAACAAUCAAUCCACUUGGAAAUUUCCUCACAAGCUCUUCUUCAUCCCUGAAGUGCGCAGCAACCAUAGUGAUUCCAGCAAACAAGCAAAUUCAGAAUCAGGCAGCAACCAUUUCACAUCCUAAAUACCUAAAGGCUUUGAGCAUCAGGAGGAUUAGCACUGCUAUUUCGAUUCAGAGAUAAGGUUAAACGACAGGCUUUGCCUAGACAGGUGGGCUUAUUUUUCAAAUGUAUGAUUUAGCUAUUGAGCUUAAAUAUUC